UCGGACCACCCAAAAUUUGACCAAUCACGAUCGUCGUUACUUAUUUAACGGUCAUUGUUCUUCGUGAAAGUGAACGCUGCAGGUCGUGAGAUCAAUUAUGCUGUAAAAAUAAUAAUAAAAAGAUUCAGAAGAACGUGCAAAUGAAUGUAUUCGUCUAUCGUCAGUAAAUCGAUCCAAUUUUCGAGGUUCUUACAAACGUACGGAGUAAAUCAUUGGCAGCUAUAUUUCUAUGCUCAUUGUCAUCGAAUUUAUUCGAGAGACAAAGUGGAUGAUAGAAUGGAAAGUUCUUACACCAUAAGAUGACGAAAAUUGAUUUCGUACCCUAAGAUGUUGAAGAUCGUAAGUGGAUGGAAUCGAAAAAAAAAAAAAAAAAAAGAAAAAAAGAAGAAGAAAUAAAAGCUUUCCUACGAGAUGGUU